AUUGAACGCUGGCGGCAGGCCUAACACAUGCAAGUCGAACGAGUGGCGGACGGGUGAGUAAUGUCUGGGAAACUGCCUGAUGGAGGGGGAUAACUACUGGAAACGGUAGCUAAUACCGCAUACCAUCGGAUGUGCCCAGAUGGGAGUAGCUAGUAGGUGGGGUAAAGGCUCACCUAGGCGACGAGCCCUAGCUGGUCUGAGAGGAUGACCAGCCACACUGGAACUGAGACACGGUCCAGACUCCUAUGGGAGGCAGCAGUGGGGAAUAUUGCACAAUGGGCGCAAGCUUGAUGCAGCCAUGCCGCGUGUAUGAAGAAGGCCUUCGGUUUGUAAAGUACUUUCAGCUGGGAGGCGUUACUCGCAGAAGAAGCACCGGCUAACUCCGUGCCAGCAGCCGCGGUAAUAC
rnacentral:rRNA from 1 species